UCCCUGCCACACCCCAAGGCGGUUGCCGGA
rnacentral:piRNA from 1 species